GGCGAGAUGGCUUAGUGGUCUAAGGCGCUGCUUUAGAGCACCACGUCCCCACGGGAUCCCGGGUUCGAAUCCCGCUGCCGCCG
rfam:Ancylostoma duodenale strain Zhejiang A_duodenale-1.0_Cont8429.4, whole genome shotgun sequence.